rnacentral:rRNA from 1 species
UACGGAGGGUGCGAGCGUUGUCCGGAAUCAUUGGGCGUAAAGGGCGCGUAGGUGGCCCGGUGAGUCUUUGGUGAAAGCGCGGGGCUCAACCCUGCGUCGGCCAGGGAUACUGCCGCGGCUCGAGCACUGUAGAGGCAGGCGGAAUUCCGGGUGUAGCGGUGGAAUGCGUAGAGAUCCGGAAGAACACCGGUGGCGAAGGCGGCCUGCUGGGCAGUAGCUGACACUGAGGCGCGACAGCGUGGGGAGCAAACAGG